AUUGAACGCUGGCGGCAUGCCUUACACAUGCAAGUCGAACGGCAGCACGGGAGCAAUCCUGGUGGCGAGUGGCGAACGGGUGAGUAAUAUAUCGGAACGUGCCCAGUCGUGGGGAUAACGUAGCGAAAGCUACGCUAAUACCGCAUACGAUCUAUGGAUGAAAGCGGGGGAUCGCAAGACCUCGCGCGAUUGGAGCGGCCGAUAUCAGAUUAGGUAGUUGGUGAGGUAAAGGCUCACCAAGCCGACGAUCUGUAGCUGGUCUGAGAGGACGACCAGCCACACUGGGACUGAGACACGG
rnacentral:rRNA from 1 species